rnacentral:rRNA from 1 species
GGGGAAUUUUCCGCAAUGGGCGCAAGCCUGACGGAGCAACGCCGCGUGAGGGAUGAAGGCCUCUGGGCUGUAAACCUCUUUUCUCAAGGAAGAAGAUCUGACGGUACUUGAGGAAUAAGCCACGGCUAAUUCCGUGCCAGCAGCCGCGGUAAUGCGGGAGUGGCAAGCGUUAUCCGGAAUUAUUGGGCGUAAAGCGUCCGCAGGCGGCCUUGAAAGUCUGCUGUUAAAGAGUGUAGCUUAACUACAUAAAGGCGGUGGAAACUGCAUCACUAGAGUACGUUCGGGGCAGAGGGAAUUCCUGGUGUAGCGGUGAAAUGCGUAGAUAUCGGGAAGAACACCAGUGGCGAAGGCGCUCUGCUGGGCCAUAACUGACGCUCAUGGACGAAAGCCAGGGGAGCGAAAGGGAUUAGAUACCCCUGUAGUC